GGCAAACUGCUCAGUAACACGUAACUAACCUACCCUUAGGUUAAGGAUAUCCUCGGGAAACUGAGGGUAAUACUUAAUAAGAGAUAUACCCUGGAAAGAUUUAUCUCUGAAAUUCGAGCCCAAGGAUGGGGUUGCGGUGGAUUAGGUUGUUGGCGGGGUAAUAGCCCACCAAGCCUGUGAUCCAUAAGGGCUCUUAGCGGAGAGGCCCUGAGAGGGAAUCUGAGACACUAUUCCCAGCCCCACGGGGUGCAGCAGUUAGGAAUAUUCUGCAAUGCGCGCAAGCGUGACAGAUUGAACCAGAGUGUUUUUCGUAUAGAAAAGCUUUUAUGAAAUGUAAAAAGUUUCAGGAAUAAGGACUGGGUAAGACUAGUGCCAGCCGCCGCGGUAAUACUAGCGGUCCAAGUCGCAGCCAUUUUUAUUGGGUCUAAAACAUCCGUAGCUUGCUUAGUAAGUUUCUUGUGAAAUUUUAUGUCUUAAACAUGGAGCGUGCAGGAAGUACUGUUAAGCUAGAGACUGGAAGACGUGAGAAGUACGUUUAAAGUAGCGGUAAAAUGUGUUAAUCUUAGACGGACUCACAAUAGCGAAGGCAUCUCACGAGGACAGUUCUGACAGUAAGGGAUGAAGGCUAGGGGCGCAAAACGGAUUAGAUACCCGUGUAGUCCUAGCAGUAAACACUGCACACUAAACAUNNCUACCUGGGAAGUAUAGUCGCAAGGCCGAAACUUAAAGGAAUUGGCGGGGAGACACUACAACAGGUGACGCGUGCGGUUCAAUUAGAUUCUACACCGUGAACCUCACCAGGAGCGACAGCAGGAUGAAGGUCAGUCUAAAGGGCUUACCUGACACGCUGAGAGGAGUUGCAUGGCCGACGUCAGCCUGUGCCGUGAGGUGACCUGUUAAAUCAGGUAACAGGCAAGACCCACAUGUAUAUUUACUACGUGUACUAUAUACAGAUUGCCUUGGUAACGAGGAUGAAAGUGUGGGCUACGUUAGGUGAGUACAGCCCUAAUCCCCUGGGCAACACGCGCGCGUCAAUGGUGAAUACAACGGGACGCGACUCCGAAAGGAGAAGCUAAUCUCUUAAAGUUCAUCUCAGUUCAGAUCGAGGUUUGUAACUCAGCCUCGUGACGCUGGAAUCUGUAGUAAUCGUUUGUUAUCAACGAACGGUGAAUAUGUCACUGUCUCUUGCACACACUGCCCGUCAAACCAACCAAGUUUAGUUAUGGUGAAACAAUUCGUUGGAGAACCUUGACUAGACAAGGUAGGUUAAGUCGUCACAAGGUAUCUGUAGGGGAACCUGCAGAUGGAUUACCUCCUA
rnacentral:rRNA from 1 species